AUUGAACGCUGGCGGCAUGCUUUACACAUGCAAGUCGAACGGUAACAGGCCGCAAGGUGCUGACGAGUGACGAACGGGUGAGUAAUGCAUCGGAACGUGCCCAGUCGUGGGGGAUAACUACUCGAAAGAGUAGCUAAUACCGCAUACGAUCUAUGGAUGAAAGCGGGGGACCGUAAGGCCUCGCGCGAUUGGAGCGGCCGAUGUCAGAUUAGGUAGUUGGUGGGGUAAAGGCUCACCAAGCCAACGAUCUGUAGCUGGUCUGAGAGGACGACCAGCCACACUGGGACUGAGACACGGCCCAGACUCCUACGGGAGGCAGCAGUGGGGAAUUUUGGACAAUGGGCGCAAGCCUGAUCCAGCAAUGCCGCGUGCAGGAAGAAGGCCUUCGGGUUGUAAACUGCUUUUGUACGGAACGAAACGGCUCUGGUUAAUACCCGGGGAUAAUGACGGUACCGGAAGAAUAAGCACCGGCUAACUACGUG
rnacentral:rRNA from 1 species